GAUGAACGCUGACAGAAUGCUUAGCACAUGCAAGUCGAUGGGGAAGUGGUGCUUGCACCCUGGUAACCAUGGCGGACGGGUGAGUAACGCGUAAGGAACUUACCUGCGGGACCGGGAUAACAGCAGGAAACUGCUGACAAGACCGGAUAAGGUCAUUAAGCUGCAUAGCUUAGUGAUGAAAGGAGACGCCUGCGGAGAGCCUUGCGUCCUAUUAGCUAGUUGGAGGGGUAACGGCCCACCAAGGCGAAGAUAGGUAGCCGGCCUGAGAGGGUGGACGGCCACAAGGGGACUGAGAUACGGCCCUUACUCCUACGGGAGGCAGCAGUGGGGAAUAGUGGACAAUGGGGGCAACCCUGAUCCAGCAAUUCUGUGUGCACGAAGACGGUUUUCGGAUUGUAAAGUGCUUUCAGCAGGGAAGAAGGAAGUGACGGUACCUGCAGAAGAAGCGACGGCUAAAUACGUG
rnacentral:rRNA from 1 species